UUUUAAGAAGGUGUCUAGGGA
rnacentral:piRNA from 1 species